UAGAUCCCAAUUCAACAUUCUACCCUCAUACCUUCAAUGGGGGUCAACACUGAGUAACCUGUUCCAGACUUAGCCGAAGUCCUCUAUUGGAUCCCACUGCCGAGAUAGAUGCACAACUCAAGUGGCGCUUGAUCCAUCUCUGGUCUGGAGAAUGUCUCAAUGAGGGUGCAUACGAUGCUGUUCAUCAUCUUCUUCUUGAAAUGGACCUGAGACAGAAUCAUCAAACUCCCAUAGCAGGAACACCGUUCCCAUUAGCAGGAGUUCUGCAGGAAAAGCUCUUGAGUGAAAAUCUUGGGACUUUGUCUGGCUGGUCAGUGGUCUCUGGUUAUUGAAUAUUAUGCCCUUUCUUAAUAUCCCUGCUGUUCCUGGUCGCUGCAUCCUGGAUUGAGGCCUCCUGAUCAGCUCUGUCAUCUGUUUCUGUAGGAGACAUCGGAGUCCUCUUCUCUCUGGUCUGGAGUCUUCCAUGUCGUAUGACUCUUUGCUAUAGGAAGCACACAUAUAAUACAAAAUACAAUAUAGGAACAUACAGUAUAUAGCAUGUAAAAUAUAUAUAUCACUACUACUUUACUAGUACUAACAUAUAGUAUCAUUUAUAGGGGUGGUUAUUCAUAUCCUUUAUUUAUAGUCCACAAACUGUCCUAAUGGUUUACAUUCCACAUUUAUAGUAGUAACCAUAUUAUUAUAUUUAUAUAUUAAAACU